rnacentral:rRNA from 1 species
GGAUCUCGAAAGCCUGUCCCAGUUCGGACUGGAGUCUGCAACCCGACUCCACGAAGUUGGAUUCGCUAGUAAUCGCGAAUCAGAAUGUCGCGGUGAAUACGUUCCCGGGUCUUGUACACACCGCCCGUCACACCAUGGGAGUCGGAAAUGCCCGAAGUCAGUGACCCAACCGUAAGGAGGGAGCUGUCGAAGGUGGAGCCGAUGACUGGGGUGAAGUCGUAACAAGGUACC